GCUGUGAUGGCCGAGUGGUUAAGGCUUUGAAAUCCAAUGGGGUUUCCCCGCAUAGGUUCGAACCCUGCUCUCAGCG
rnacentral:tRNA from 1 species